rnacentral:rRNA from 1 species
GACGAACGCUGGCGGCGUGCUUAACACAUGCAAGUCGAACGAUGAAGCAGAGAAACGCGACCUUCGGUUCUAAUUUCACUUCGGAUUAGUGGCAGACGAGUGAGUAACGCGUGAGCAACCUACCUCUUACAAAGGGAUAGCCUCGGGAAACCGUGAUUAAUACCAUAUGACACAUUCAUAAGGCAUCUUAAGAAUGUUAAAGCUACGGCGGUUAGGGAUGGGCUCGUGUCCCAUUAGCUAGCUGGUGAGGUAACGGCGCACCAGAGGGACGAUGGGUAACCGGGAAGAGAGGGUGGGCCCAGACAACUGAGGUAAGAAGCAGUCGGGAAUCCUACGCGAGGGGGGAGAGGGGAAUCUAGCAAAAUGGAGGGAGCGAUGAUGGCGCUACGACGGGAAAGCGAUGUAGUAAGGCAAGAAGUAAAGCUCUGUUAUAUGGGAAGAAAAGGACGGUACCAGAGGAGAAAGCCCCGGCUAAAUACGUG